rnacentral:rRNA from 1 species
UAGGGAAUUUUCCACAAUGGGCGAAAGCCUGAUGGAGCAAUACCGCGUGCAGGAUGAAGGCCUUCGGGUCGUAAACUGCUUUUAUGUGCGAAGAAUUUGACGGUAACACAUGAAUAAGGAUCGGCUAACUACGUGCCAGCAGCCGCGGUCAUACGUAGGAUCCAAGCGUUAUCCGGAAUUACUGGGCGUAAAGAGUUGCGUAGGUGGCAUUAUAAGUGGAGCGUGAAAGCGUGCGGCUCAACCGCAUUAUUGCGUUCCAAACUGUGAAGCUUGAGUAUGGGAGAGGUAGAUGGAAUUUCUAGUGUAGGAGUGAAAUCCGUAGAUAUUAGAAGGAACACCGAUGGCGUAGGCAGUCUACUGGCCCAUUACUGACACUAAGGCACGAAAGCGUGGGGAGCAAACG